GCCCGGUUAGCUCAAUCGGUAGAGCGUGAGACUCUUACUCGACGCCCACCCUAUCCAAUGACAAGGUCGUCAGUUCAAUUCUGGCAGUGGGCA